UGCCAGCAGCCGCGGUAAUACGGGGGGAGCAAGCGUUACUCGGAAUCACUGGGCGUAAAGAGCAUGUAGGCUGGUAGAAAAGUUAGAAGUGAAAUCCUGUGGCUUAACCAUAGAACUGCUUCUAAAACUCUCUACCUAGAAUAUGGGAGAGGUAGAUGGAAUUUCUGGUGUAGGGGUAAAAUCCGUAGAGAUCAGAAGGAAUACCGAUUGCGAAGGCGAUCUACUGGAACAUUAUUGACGCUGAGAUGCGAAAGCGUGGGGAGCAAACAGGAUUAGAUA
rnacentral:rRNA from 1 species